rnacentral:rRNA from 1 species
UCGAACGGUAGCACAGUAAGAGCUUGCUCUUAUGGGUGGCGAGUGGCGGACGGGUGAGGAAUACAUCGGAAUCUACUCUUUCGUGGGGGAUAACGUAGGGAAACUUACGCUAAUACCGCAUACGACCUACGGGUGAAAGCGGAGGACCUUCGGGCUUCGCGCGAUUGAAUGAGCCGAUGUCGGAUUAGCUAGUUGGCGGGGUAAAGGCCCACCAAGGCGACGAUCCGUAGCUGGUCUGAGAGGAUGAUCAGCCACACUGGAACUGAGACACGGUCCAGACUCCUACGGGAGGCAGCAGUGGGGAAUAUUGGACAAUGGGCGCAAGCCUGAUCCAGCCAUGCCGCGUGGGUGAAGAAGGCCUUCGGGUUGUAAAGCCCUUUUGUUGGGAAAGAAAAGCAGUCGGUUAAUACCCGAUUGUUCUGACGGUACCCAAAGAAUAAGCACCGGCUAACUUCGUGCCAGCAGCCGCGGUAAUACGAAGGGUGCAAGCGUUACUCGGAAUUACUGGGCGUAAAGCGUGCGUAGGUGGUGGUUUAAGUCUGUUGUGAAAGCCCUGGGCUCAACCUGGGAAUUGCAGUGGAUACUGGGUCACUAGAGUGUGGUAGAGGGUAGCGGAAUUCCCGGUGUAGCAGUGAAAUGCGUAGAGAUCGGGAGGACAUCCGUGGCGAAGGCGGCUACCUGGAC